UGAGGAAUAUUGGGCAAUGCCCGCAAGGGUGACCCAGCAACGCCGCGUGGAGGAUGAAUGUCGUAAGAUUGUAAACUCCUGUUAGAGGGGAAGAAUAGUACCGGUUGGACCGGUAUAUGACUGUACCCUCAGAGAAAGCCCCGGCUAACUACGUGCCAGCAGCCGCGGUAAUACGUAGGGGGCAAGCGUUGUCCGGAUUUACUGGGUGUAAAGGGCGCGCAGGCGGGAUAAAAAGUCAGUGGUGAAAUCCUACAGCUUAACUGUAGAACUGCCUUUGAUACUUUUAGUCUUGAGUGCGGGAGAGAGAGACGGAAUUCCAGGUGUAGUGGUGAAGUACGUAGAUAUCUGGAAGAACACCAGUUGCGAAGGCGGUCUCUUGGUCCGACACUGACG
rnacentral:rRNA from 1 species